rnacentral:lncRNA from 1 species
ACACGUGCAAAUUUGAGUCUGGUAAUACAGUUGAGUCAAACUCCGGCGAACUAGGGCAGCGGUUUGGGGGUUUCCACAUCUGAGCUACCUAGCCUAAUUUCUUUGUACCGGAGGACUCACCCAGACGAAAGAACAUCUUUUAUUGAAUUCUUGAACGAACAAUCGGCAAUGCAGUAAUGGACAAUAUAUUGAAUGAUUCUAUUCUUUUUCUUUAUGGUAAAAAUUGUUCUCAUUUAUCUAACUUAUUUGAGAACUGUGCAUCUCAACAACACCUGUUCUUUUAGAGACUCGUAAACAACAGUUCUGUGUUCAUGCAGUCUCCAUCAUCAUCAAUAAUCUACUAUCUAAUAUUCUUAUCCAUGUAGAUUCCCAUUUCCACUGCGAAAAAGUCAUCUAUCAGAAGAAGAAAAAAUUGUUUUUUAUAUUUAUUUCUUCAACAUGUGCA